rnacentral:lncRNA from 1 species
UUUCUCAAUAAGUAAUUUUUUCCCAAAAUUACUAGUUCUGUGUUUUUUUCCUCAUAUUUUCUCUGUUUUAGGCAUAUAGAAUCACAUCUGCUUAACUCAGGGACUGCUGAGAUUUCAUGAGGAUUUGGGGAGUAGGAGGCAUCUUGGCAUGGAGAUCAUUAUUACUUUUUGAUCCGCCUUCGUUUCAGGAUUGUAUUUCCUAAUGCCUGUCUUUUUGGAUGGAUCAGAGGGCCUCUGAAAACAAUCAGAAGGGAAGUAAGUAGGAUUAUUUCACAUGUUUAGGUACAUGGGAUUGCCAAAAUGAUGUUCAAUCUUCUUUAGGUUAUAUUUUUGUAAAUAAUACUAACAUAUAUUCCAGGGUCAUAUGGUAUUUCUAAAAUUUUAAUAUCUAAGUAUGGCCAUUAUGUUAAGUUAUUAUAGACCACAGAAAUAACCAAAUUUCCUUGAAUAAACCUACUAACCAAAAUAGAAGCAAAAAAAAAUUUUUCAAUUCAAUGCCAGAAAAUACUUUGUCAGAUUUUCAUAUUAAGCUAACUGAUACUGAAAUCAUUUAAAAUAG